rnacentral:rRNA from 1 species
GGCUUAACACAUGCAAGUCGAGGGGCAGCAUGGUCUUAGCUUGCUAAGGCCGAUGGCGACCGGCGCACGGGUGAGUAACGCGUAUCCAACCUGCCUUACACUCUUGGACAGCCUUCUGAAAGGGAGAUUAAUACAAGAUGUUAUCAUGAGUAAGCAUUUUCGCAUGAUUAAAGGUAUUUUCCGGUAGACGAUGGGGAUGCGUUCCAUUAGAUAGUAGGCGGGGUAACGGCCCACCUAGUCAACGAUGGAUAGGGGUUCUGAGAGGAAGGUCCCCCACAUUGGAACUGAGACACGGUCCAAACUCCUACGGGAGGCAGCAGUGAGGAAUAUUGGUCAAUGGGCGAUGGCCUGAACCAGCCAAGUAGCGUGAAGGAUGACUGCCCUAUGGGUUGUAAACUUCUUUUAUAAAGGAAUAAAGUCGGGUAUGCAUACCCGUUUGCAUGUACUUUAUGAAUAAGGAUCGGCUAACUCCGUGCCAGCAGCCGCGGUAAUACGGAGGAUCCGAGCGUUAUCCGGAUUUAUUGGGUUUAAAGGGAGCGUAGAUGGAUGUUUAAGUCAGUUGUGAAAGUUUGCGGCUCAACCGUAAAAUUGCAGUUGAUACUGGAUGUCUUGAGUGCAGUUGAGGCAGGCGGAAUUCGUGGUGUAGCGGUGAAAUGCUUAGAUAUCACGAAGAACUCCGAUUGCGAAGGCAGCCUGCUAAGCUGCAACUGACAUUGAGGCUCG